rnacentral:rRNA from 1 species
GACGAACGCUGGCGGCGUGCUUAACACAUGCAAGUCGAACGGAAAGGCCCUGCUUGCAGGGUACUCGAGUGGCGAACGGGUGAGUAACACGUGGGUGAUCUGCCCUGCACUUCGUGAUAAGCCUUGGAAACUGGGUCGAAUACCGGAUAGGAGCCAUUUUUAGUGUGAUGGUUGGAAAGUUUUUUCGGUGUAGGAUGAGCUCGCGGCCUAUCAGCUUGUUGGUGGGGUAAUGGCCUACCAAGGCGGCGACGGGUAGCCGGCCUGAGAGGGUGGACGGCCACAUUGGGACUGAGAUACGGCCCAGACUCCCACGGGAGGCAGCAGUGGGGAAUAUUGCACAAUGGGCGCAAGCCUGAUGCAGCGACGCCGCGUGGGGGAUGACGGCCUUCGGGUUGUAAACUCCUUUCGCUAGGGACGAAGCUUUUUGUGACGGUACCUAGAUAAGAAGCACCGGCUAACUACGUG